rnacentral:rRNA from 1 species
AUGAACGCUGGCGGUAUAUAUGACACAUGCGAGUUAAACAAAAAUUCAUUAAUUUUUCGUAGCAUUCGGGUGCGUAAUAUACUGAGAUUAACCUAUCAAUUUAGCUGGUAAAAGGAAUAUUUAUCGUAAUUCUAAAUAUAAAAAAGAUUUAUUGUUGGUAGAUAAAUUGGUAGGAGAUCAGGUAGUUGGUAAGAAUUAGCUUACCAAGCCUAUAACCUUUAGCUGUUUUAGGAGAUUGAUCAGCCACAUUGGAAUUUAAAACGGUUCAAACUUCAUUUGAGGGCAGCAGUGUGGAAUUUUGGACAAUGAGCAGACGCUUGAUCCAGUAAUACCGCUUGGGAUUGAAGGGCUAACGUCGAAAAAGUCCUAUCAGCAUAAGAGAUAAUGACGUUAUAUGUUUUUAUUAGUCCUGGCUAAUUCUGU